GUAGGUGGCAAGCGUUGUCCGGAAUUAUUGGGCGUAAAGCGCGCGCAGGCGGUUCUUUAAGUCUGAUGUGAAAGCCCACGGCUCAACCGUGGAGGGUCAUCGGAAACUGGAGAACUUGAGUACAGAAGAGGAAAGCGGAAUUCCACGUGUAGCGGUGAAAUGCGUAGAGAUGUGGAGGAACACCAGUGGCGAAGGCGGCUUUCUGGUCUGUAACUGACGCUGAGGCGCGAAAGCGUGGGGAGCAAACAGGGAUUAGAUACCCUGGUAGUCCACGCCGUAAACGAUGAGUGCUAAGUGUUAGGGGGUUUCCGCCCCCUUAGUGCUGCAGUUAACGCAUUAAGCACUCCGCCUGGGGAGUACGGCCGCAAGGCUG
rnacentral:rRNA from 1 species